GACGAACGCUGGCGGCGUGCCUAACACAUGCAAGUCGAGCGAUGAACCCUUCGGGGGGAUUAGCGGCGGACGGGUGAGUAACACGUGGGUAACCUGCCUCAAAGAGGGGGAUAGCCUCCCGAAAGGGAGAUUAAUACCGCAUAACAUCAUGCUCUCGCAUGGGAGUAUGAUUAAAGGAGCAAUCCGCUAUGAGAUGGGCCCGCGGCGCAUUAGCUAGUUGGUGAGGUAACGGCUCACCAAGGCGACGAUGCGUAGCCGACCUGAGAGGGUGAUCGGCCACAUUGGAACUGAGACACGGUCCAGACUCCUACGGGAGGCAGCAGUGGGGAAUAUUGCACAAUGGGCGAAAGCCUGAUGCAGCAACGCCGCGUGAGUGAAGAAGGCCUUCGGGUUGUAAAGCUCUGUCUUUUGGGACGAUAAUGACGGUACCAAAGGAGGAAGCCACGGCUAUCUACGUGCCAGCAGCCGCCGUAAUAC
rnacentral:rRNA from 1 species